GUUCCUGUAGCGCAAUGAAUAGCGCGUCGGACAUCCAAUCCGAAGGUUGUGGGUUCGAAUCCCAUCUGGGAUG